rnacentral:tRNA from 1 species
GACUUCGGGUGGCAGAGGACGCCGCGGUUGUUGGCGACGGCCGCCGUCCCGACGGUCCGAACGUCGGCGAGGUCGCC